rnacentral:lncRNA from 1 species
GGGUUUUUGUUUUCAUAUCUUUCCUCCCUCCAUCUUGAGUUUCCUGAGAGUGUCUCAAAUUUGAAACUCCUCCUUCUACUUUCCAUCUUUGGAAGAGUCCAAAUCAAGAAGAAGGAGGCACCUGAUCAACCAUCAAAGAAGGAUCAGCGCAGUACUAGCAUACUGUGCUGAUUUCCUGAAGCAGGACUUCUGAUCAAGAUUCGUGGGCUCGUGUGGAUGACUCUUAGAGGUCGGACAUAUGUGCGGCUUGCAACAUCAUCCUUAAGCCCGGAUC